rnacentral:lncRNA from 1 species
GUCAGAAGCGCCCUUCACUUGAGCAGCAUCAGAGGGCCUGGGCUGACCUCACAAAGGGGCCAUGAGUGUGACUACCUGGCUGGGGAGUGAAGCCAGAGGGCAGAAGUGCCCUGGAGUGCAGACCCCAGCAGACACUGACCAGGCACAGGAGGAUGAAGUGAGUUUGUUGGGGACAGAGAACAGCCAAGGGGCAGCCGGCAGUCAGCUCAAGUCCUCACAAAGAAGGGCAAUACCACCCGUGGGCCGGGACAGUCGGCUCGAGGGCCAGCAGCCAGGAACGUGGCGAAGAACUUGGAUCUGAGGUGGGCCCAUGGUGUAGCUGUGGUGUGCUAGCAAGAGUGGCCUCCAAACCCACCCUGGAAGGUGAUCCAGAGACCAUAGAGCAGAAAGGCUUCCUUCUCAGAGUGAGCUGCUGGAAGCCCACCAGUGUCAGGUGACAGAUAGUUUGGAGUACUAUAUUGAGGUCAAAAUUGCCCGAACAAUUUGCAAGAAAAUUUCAGAAGAUGAAAACUGUGCAUUUCAAGAGGAUCCCAAAAUGCAAAAGUCCAGCUGCUGCAUGGAAGUCCUACAAGGCUCUGGAACAGUCCCAAGACUCCAGCCCAAUGGCCCUGCAUGCUCCCCAUAGUCUCAGAGGUCCAGGCUGCUGCUGCUUCAGGCCAAGAUGGGGGACAGCCCCAGCCAGGCCAGGCUGUUUUCAGAUGGAGACUGUCACAAAGGCAAGUUCAUCACAGAGGAGACAGGCUUAAUAAAAAAGUCCCUUACUCUCCUCGUAGUUGACUAAACAGGGA